UUGGGGUUAGAAUUUAAUAUUAUGUACUUUUUAGAUUUUGAUAUAUGGGUUUAGAGUUUUAUAUAUAGGUUAGGGUUUACUGAUUUGGGUUUAGGGUUUAGUAUUUAGAAAGUGAGGGAGUAUGGUUGGACUCAGUAUUAACUUCUUUCAUGCAAUCAUAAACAUUUCAUAAUUUUAUCACUAUGUACUAUGUUAUUUCUAUUGUUCCAUUCUAUUUGGGUUUAGAGUUUUAUGUUUGGGUUUAGGGUUUACUGAUUUGGGUUCGGGUUUUGUAUUUAGGAGUUGGGAUGAGAUUGAGAGACGCUUAGUAUCUAAAGAUUGGGGUUGAGUUAGGUUUAGUAUUUAGAGGUUGUAGGACUACAUUAAUAAUAUGGUAUAGAACACUCGGUGCAUAUGCAUGUGAUCAAUAAAUGUCUACAUGGAUGGCUCCUCUUUCUUUU
rnacentral:lncRNA from 1 species